rnacentral:lncRNA from 1 species
GAGUUUUUAAAUACUGAACCAGUGCAUGGAUAUCAAAAGGUAAUUUCCUUUGUUCUAAAGGAGUUAUGUCCACUGACCUCUUAUCAUAUCCUUCCUUGCUAGUGGUGGUCAAAAAAUCUCCCCAGGGAAGUGGGGUCCUGGACAAUGUUUCCUGGCAUGAGGCUAGUGAUGUGUCAUACAAUACUCUCUUUUGAUAUGGAGGCAGCUACAGUGAACCACAGUUCCCAGUUGGCCACACCAUCAUGAUCAUGUGGGUCAACAACUGACACUCUGCAACAUACUGUGUUGCCAACUCUUUUUGGAUACAGCUCCUGUCUUCAUUCUUUGCUUCCUGGCUGCCAUGAUGUGAGCAGUGUUCCUUUACCCAGACCCUUCCACCAUGCUGUUCCUGCCUUGGAGCCAGCCUACCAGGGAUUUUAACUG